GACAGAGGUUAUUCAGUUGAAAGAUGGCCACAAAUUCACAGGUGCUGUGUCUCCCUCCAAGAUUAAAGUUGAAACAGAUGGAAGGUAUUUGAAGUAUAGGAUCAUUGGUUGAAAAUACAAGGAUAUAUACAAAUUCAGUGAGAUAGGAAGAUGGGUGAACAAGAGGGAAUACAUAAACACUGAGCAAGAGGAAAUCAGUAUGAUACCAUCAAUUGUCUUGUGAGAUUAUGUUGCAGAACAGCUUCAUUCCCUUGUAUGUGGUUUUGGAAGAUGGGAGAGAAGGAGAAUGUCUAUGUUUCUUGGGCUUCUAGGCAUCAAGAGAUUAAUGAGAAAAAGAAGGGACCAUUAUGCCUGAAACAGAACCCUCUUUGAUGUUCUCCUUUGAAAACCUAAGAGAAAUAAAAGCAGAAAAGGAUUCUACUGAUUACUACUUCCUACAGUAAUAUGGUGAUUGAACACUGAUUAAUCCUCCCCGACAUUGAUGCAUUUUCACUGUUAUGAAACAUCUUAGAAAAAUUGAAAAGUCAAAAAAAAUAGAUUCUUUCCUUGCUGUUUUAACUGAAAAUUAAAGUUUGGG
rnacentral:lncRNA from 10 species